UACGAGGGGAGCAAGCGUUGUUCGGAUUUACUGGGCGUAAAGGGCGCGUAGGCGGUCGUGCCAAGUCACUUGUGAAAUCUCCGGGCUUAACUCGGAACGGUCAAGUGAUACUGUCGGACUAGAGUACAGAAGGGGCAACUGGAAUUCCCGGUGUAGCGGUGAAAUGUGUAGAGAUCGGGAGGAACACCGGUGGCGAAGGCGGGUCUCUGGGCAAUUCCUGACGCUGAGGCGCGAAAGCGUGGGGAGCAAACGGG
rnacentral:rRNA from 1 species